ensembl:lncRNA
UACGACUGCACAUGGUGUUCCUUUCAGCAGCAUUCAGAAUCACAGUGGGAAAGCUGAAUAAUGCGUCUGUCUCAUCUCCUGGGACUGAGAGCUGGUCGGGGAUAUAGGAAACAGGAUGGACUAAAUGUUAACUAUGAAGAACACAAAGGCAAAAUAACAACUGGAGUAAUGAGAAAAGACUGGUACUGGCUGGACAAAGAAACUGAAAUGAGGAAGCCUUUGGGACCAUGGCUAAUUAGGGUCUCAGAAGCAGACUAGGGAAAGAGUACGGCUGUGAGACAGGGCUUGGCAUUUGUUUGCUGAAAAGAUGAAGGACAAGGAUUUGUGGCAUAAUGUGGGGAGGUGGUUGCUUGGCAACCUUAAUUCAGUCCCCUUAUGAUACAUGUGUGAUCACAUAUUGUUUUUAUGCAGGAUUUCUGGCUCAAGUGUUGUGCAGGAUGGACCUGCUCAGGGGACACAGUAGGGCUGUGCAAGAAAGGCAGGUGAUGCCUGCAUGACUCCUGACUCAUUUAUUGCUUGAGCUGAAAAGUAGAUAAUGAAUGAAGAAGGGUAAAGGAAGGCCAUGUGACUGAACUGUGCACUGUUGCACAGGACUUUUCCUGCCUAUUGCUAAUAUAGCCACUUAAAACAGUUUGGUGUUUUAUUUAUUUAUUUAUUUGUUUGUUUGUUUUUCAAUCUCUGUAUGUGGAACCUCCCAUAGUCUAAUAGCUUCUAAUUAUCUAAUUUUAAUGAUCAUAGUUAGAGUCCCAAAUCCAAUUUGCUCAACACUCACACCUGUGACUGAUGCUGCAACUUCUGUGUUUGAAAUAUUGCUAAAUACUUUAAAAUUGCAUCUUUGAUGCAUCAGAUAGGACAUGUAAAAUUAGUGAAUACCUCUGUGCUUAGUUUUUCUCUGCCUCUACUCCCUUUAUUUUAGACAGCAAUGCUUCCUUUUCUUUGCCACCAUGUAUUUUUGUGAAGCUAAAUUAAUUUGCAUUUCUGCAGCACUCAGAUGUUGAAGUGAUGAGCACCAUUGAGAAGCUCUGGAGGAAAUUAAUAAUUCUUCCAUCAUAACACAAUUGAAUAAUGGGCAGUAAACAAAGCAUGGGCCACACAAUGAGUUAUGAGGCAAAAGCAAAAUAUUGAUUAGCUGUUUGGUGAACGAAGCAGUGGUCCUGUGAAAAAAUAGUGAUUAAAAAUUGUGUCAAAACACAUAGGCACAAGAGAUUAUCAUCACCCUUCUACAGGAGAGAUUGCCAGGAGGGAGAUUAAAUAAUAU